GAUCAUGGCUCAGGACGAACGCUGGCGGCGUGCUUAACACAUGCAAGUCGAACGAGAAUCUACUGAAAGAGUUUUCGGACAAUGGAAGUAGAGGAAAGUGGCGGACGGGUGAGUAACGCGUGAGGAACCUGCCUUGAAGAGGGGGGACAACAGUUGGAAACGACUGCUAAUACCGCAUGACGCAUAGAGGUCGCAUGAUCUUUAUGCCAAAGAUUUAUCGCUUCAAGAUGGCCUCGCG
rnacentral:rRNA from 1 species